rnacentral:rRNA from 1 species
UACGAAGGGUGCAAACGUUGCUCGGAAUCAUUGGGCGUAAAGCGCACGUAGGCGGCUCCAAAAGUCGGAUGUGGAAAUCCCUGGGCUCAACCGAGGAAGUGCAUCCGAAACUGCGGAGCUUGAGUAUGGAAGAGGGUCGCGGAAUUCCCGGUGUAGAGGUGAAAUUCGUAGAUAUCGGGAGGAACACCAGUGGCGAAGGCGGCGACCUGGGCCAAUACUGACG